rnacentral:rRNA from 1 species
UGGGGAAUAUUGCACAAUGGGGGAAACCCUGAUGCAGCAACGCCGCGUGAGCGAAGAAGUAUUUCGGUAUGUAAAGCUCUAUCAGCAGGGAAGAAAAUGACGGUACCUGACUAAGAAGCCCCGGCUAACUACGUGCCAGCAGCCGCGGUAAUACGUAGGGGGCAAGCGUUAUCCGGAUUUACUGGGUGUAAAGGGAGCGCAGGCGGCGAAGCAAGCCAGAGGUGAAAACCCGGGGCUCAACCCCGAGGAUUGCCUUUGGAACUGUUUUGCUUGAGUGCUGGAGGGGCAGGCGGAAUUCCUGGUGUAGCGGUGAAA